UUCGGGAUGAUAGGUCGACGGUGAGGACACGUGAGGAUCUGCCCAUCAUUGGGGAUACACGGAACCGGUGCUAUUACCGAAUACUCGUCUGGGGAUCGCUAAGCGGAAGAAUUCGAUGAUGGAUGAUCUCGGGCCUAUCAGCUAGUGGUGAGGUAAGGUCACCAGGCAACGAGGGUAGCGGGCCUGAGAGGGCGACGGCCACACUGGGACUGAGACACGGCCCAGACUCCUACGGGAGGCAGCAGUAGGGAAUAUUGGGCAAUGGGCGCAAGCCUGACCCAGCGACGCCGCGUGAGGGAUGAAGGUCUUCGGAUGUAAACCUCUUUCAGUAGGAAGAAGCGAAAGUGAAGGUACCUAAAGAAGAAGCACCGGCUAACUAUGUGCCAGCAGCCGCGGUAAUACAUAGGGUGCAAGCGUUGUCCGGAAUUAUUGGGCGUAAAGAGCUCGUAGGUGGUUCGAUACGUCGGAUGUGAAAAUCAGGGGCUCAACCCCUGACCUGCAUUCGAUACGGUCGAGCUAGAGUUUGUUAGGGGAGACUGGAAUUCCUGGUGUACCGGUGGAAUGCGCAGAUAUCAGGAGGAACACAAUGGCGAAGGCAGGUCUCUGGCCAUAACUGACACUGAGGAGCGAAAGUGCGGGGAGCGAACAGGAUUAGAUACCCUGGUAGUCCGCACCGUAAACGGUGGGCACUAGUUGUGGGAACCUUCCACGGUUUCCGCGACGCAGCAAACGCAUUAAGUGCCCCGCCUGGGGAGUACGAUCGCAAGAUUAAAACUCAAAGGAAUUGACGGGGCCCCGCACAACCACCGGAGCAUGCGGCUUAAUUCGACGCAACGCGAAGAACCUUACCAAGCCUUGACAUAUACCGAAAAGUGCCAGAGAUGUCAUGUCCCCAAGGCCCCUAUACAGUGUGCAUGUUUUUCUCAGCUCGUUCUUCUGAAUUUGGUUUAAUUCCCCCACGAGCCCAACCCUCGUUCUGUGUACCCAUUAUUGGGACCUCAACGAGACCCCCGGGUUUACUCGAGAAGUGGGAGACUCAUCCUCAUGCCUAUUCUGGCUGCACCAUGCUACUGCCGUACAGAGGCUGCGAACCUAAGUGACGAUCCCAAACCGUCUCAGUUCAGAUGAGGUCUCACUCGACCUCAUGAAGUCG
rnacentral:rRNA from 1 species